CCUACGGGUGGCAGCAGUGAGGAAUAUUGGUCAAUGGACGGAAGCCUGAACCAGCCAAGUAGCGUGCGGGAUGAAGGCCCUACGAGUCGUAAACCGCUUUUGCACGGGGAUAACACCCUCCACGUGUGGAGGUCUGCAGGUACCGUGCGAAUAAGGGCCGGCUAAUUCCGUGCCAGCAGCCGCGGUAAUACGGAAGGUCCGAGCGUUAUCCGGAUUCAUUGGGCUUAAAGGGGGCGUAGGCGGGCGUUCAAGUCAGCUGUAAAAUCCCGCGGCUCAACCCCGCCCCGCAGUUGAAACUGGACGCCUUGAGUUCACAACAGGCAGGCGGAAUGUGUGGUGUAGCGGUGAAAUGCAUAGAUAUCA
rnacentral:rRNA from 1 species